UACCGGCAGCUCAAGUGGUCGUCGCUUUUAUUGGGCCUAAAGCAUCCGUAGCCGGCUCUGUAAGUUUUCGGUUAAAUCUGUACGCUCAACGUACAGGCUGCCGGGAAUACUGCAGAGCUAGGGAGUGGGAGAGGUAGACGGUACUCGGUAGGAAGGGGUAAAAUCCUUUGAUCUAUUGAUGACCACCUGUGGCGAAGGCGGUCUACCAGAACACGUCCGACGGUGAGGGAUGAAAGCUGGGGGAGCAAACCGG
rnacentral:rRNA from 1 species